rnacentral:rRNA from 1 species
UACGAAGGGUGCUAGCGUUGUUCGGAAUUACUGGGCGUAAAGGGCUCGUAGGUGGCCAACUAAGUCAGACGUGAAAUCCCUCGGCUUAACCGGGGAACUGCGUCUGAUACUGGUUGGCUUGAGUUUGGGAGAGGGACGCGGAAUUCCAGGUGUAGCGGUGAAAUGCGUAGAUAUCUGGAGGAACACCGGUGGCGAAGGCGGCGUCCUGGACCAACACUGACACUGAUGAGCGAAAGCCAGGGGAGCAAACGGG